UCCAGACUCCUACGGGAGGCAGCAGUGGGGGAUAUUGCACAAUGGGGGGAACCCUGAUGCAGCGACGCCGCGUGGGUGAAGGAGCGUUUCGGCGCGUAAAGCCCUAUCGGCAGGGAAGAAGGAGGACGGUACCUGACUAAGAAGCCCCGGCUAACUACGUGCCAGCAGCCGCGGUAAUACGUAAGGGGCAAGCGUUAUCCGGAUUUACUGGGUGUAAAGGGGGCGCAGACGGCAGCGCAAGCCAGGAGUGAAAGCCCGGGGCCCAACCCCGGGACUGCUCUUGGAACUGCGCGGCUGGAGUGCAGGAGGGGCAGGCGGAAUUCCUGGUGUAGCGGUGAAAUGCGUAGAUAUCAGGAGGAACACCGGUGGCGAAGGCGGCCUGCUGGACUGCGACUGACGUUGAGGCCCGAAAGCGUGGGGAGCAAACAGGAUUAGAUACCCUCGUAA
rnacentral:rRNA from 1 species